rnacentral:rRNA from 1 species
AUGCCACCCCCCAUUGCCUUCCUCCUCCCCCUCUUCUUCCUCAUCGCCGCCACCGUUCCCUCCUCCCGUGCCGCCGACGCCGACGCCGGCCCCGCCGUCCCGCAACCCAGAGGGUUCUACAUAAACUGCGGGGCGGACAAGGAGGUGCAGGUGGGGAGCAUCAAGUGGGUCCCGGACGCGGGCUUCAUCGCCGUCGGCAACGCCUCCGCCGUCGACAAGCCCGCCAUCCUGCCCGUCCUCGCCACGCUGCGCCACUUCCCGGACGCCACCGCGCGCAAGUACUGCUACACCGUCCCGGCCGUCAAGGGCUCGCGCUACCUCGUCCGCACCACCUACUUCUACGGCGGCUUCGACGGCGGCACCGAGCCCCCCGUGUUCGACCAGAUCGUCGACGGCACCCUAUGGAGCGCCGUGAACACCGCCGACAGCGCCCGCCGCGGCAUGUCCACCUACUUCGAGAUGGUGGCGCAGGCGCAGGGCAAGUCCAUGAGCGUCUGCCUGGCGCGCCGCCCCGACACCAAGUCCAGCCCCUUCAUCUCCGCCCUGGAGCUCGUCGACCUCGAGGACUCCAUGUACAACACCACCGACUUCGACAAGUACGUCCUCAGCACCGUCACGCGCAGCGCCAUGGGCGCCAAGGGCGAGAUCAUCAGCUAUCCAGAUGACCAGUACAACCGGUACUGGGCGCCGUUCACGGACGGCAACCCCACGACGGAGAGCCACUCACCGAUCGCGCCGGCGGACUUCUGGAACCUGCCGCCGGCCAAGGCGCUCAAGGGCGCGAUCACCACCAGCCGGGGGAAGAAGCUGACCGUGCAGUGGCCGCCCCUGGAGCUGCCCUUCGCCAGCUACUACGUGGCGCUCUACUUCCAGGACCCGCGCACGGCCAGCCCCUACAGCUGGCGCGUCUUCGACGUCUCCAUGAACGGCAAGGACUUCUUCCUGGGGCUCAACGCCACGGCCGCCGGCGUCAUGGUCUACUCCAACACGAUUCAGCUGGCCGGGAAGACGGAGAUCCUGCUCACGCCCAACGGGACCUGCCCCGUCGGCCCGCUCAUCAACGCCGCCGAGAUCUACCAGAUCGUGCCCGUCGGCGGCAGAACCGCCACCAGAGAUGUGGAUGCAAUGGAAGAUCUCGCUAGGAGCUUGAAGAACCCGCCGCCGGACUGGGCCGGCGACCCCUGCCUGCCGCCGCAGAACUCGUGGACCGGGGUCGGUUGCUCCGACGACUCACCCGUGCGCGUCUUGUCACUGGAUCUAAAAAACCGUGGUCUUUCAGGAUGUCUUCCAGACAGCAUUGGAAAUUUGACAGGGAUGAAUACCAUUUCUCUCAGUGGCAACAAACUCUCAGGACCCAUACCUGACUUCAGCAGUAUGCAGACCUUAACUGCAUUGCAUCUUGAUGGCAACCAGUUCAGUGGAGCGAUCAACCCGUCGCUGGCAAAUCUCACCAAUCUGAAGGAACUGUUCCUGAACGACAACAAUCUCUCCGGACUGAUACCACCAAGCCUGAAAACCAAGCCUGGACUUGUCAUGAGGACUGAGGGGAACAAACUUCAAUGA